rnacentral:rRNA from 1 species
UACGAACUGUGCGAACGUUAUUCGGAAUCACUGGGCUUACAGGGUGCGUAGGCGGCUUGUUAAGUAGGGUGUGAAAUCCCCCGGCUCAACCGGGGAAUGGCGCCCUAAACUGGCGAGCUAGAGUGAGAUAGGGGUGUGUGGAACUUCCGGUGGAGCGGUGAAAUGUGUUGAUAUCGGAAGGAACGCCGGUGGCGAAAGCGACACACUGGAUCUUGUCUGACGCUGAGGCACGAAAGCCAGGGGAGCGAACGGG